GACGAACGCUGGCGGCGCGCCUAACACAUGCAAGUCGAACGGAGCUGAGAGAAGCUUGCUUUUCUUAGCUUAGUGGCGAACGGGUGAGUAACGCGUGAGUAACCUGCCCUGGAGUGGGGGACAACAGUUGGAAACGACUGCUAAUACCGCAUAAGCCCACGAUCCGGCAUCGGAUUGAGGGAAAAGGAUUUAUUCGCUUCAGGAUGGACUCGCGUCCAAUUAGCUAGUUGGUGAGGUAACGGCCCACCAAGGCGACGAUUGGUAGCCGGACUGAGAGGUUGAACGGCCACAUUGGGACUGAGACACGGCCCAGACUCCUACGGGAGGCAGCAGUGGGGGAUAUUGCACAAUGGGGGAAACCCUGAUGCAGCGACGCCGCGUGGAGGAAGAAGGUUUUCGGAUUGUAAACUCCUAUCGUUAGGGACGAUAAUGACGGUACCUAACAAGAAAGCACCGGCUAACUACGUG
rnacentral:rRNA from 1 species